rnacentral:tRNA from 1 species
GAGAGUGGCUCGAUAGCAACGAUGACUGCUAAUCAUCCUUCUCUCGGUUAAACUCCAAGGCUCACUCA